rfam:Nicotiana attenuata strain TT chromosome 9, whole genome shotgun sequence.
GCUCUCAUAGCUUAGUUGGUUAGAGCACCUAUUUAGUAAGCGGAGGUCUUGAGUUUAACUCUCAACAAGAGCA